CAACAGUUUAGUAAAAGAUAAAAAUACUUUUGUCAGCCUAUAAUAAAGACUUGAUCGUCUUUUGUGAUGACUGACACCCUUGAUUAGGAUAAUGACGCCAGGGGAACAAACAGUUGGGCUUAACACUUAAGGAUAUGUAUAAUGUAGUGUGCGUGUGUGUAUGUGUGUGUGUGCGCACACAUGCACAUCUGUUGCUAGGUUGUAGCUUUUAAGAGGGAGAACAUUAUUGUGACAUAAGCAUGAUCUCAUCUGUCUGGGAAGAUCAUCAUCUUUCAAAGACUAAGAAAGAAGGAGGCUCCACGUGGGUGGAGCAGGGUGAGGGGAGAACAGAGUUUAAUUAGCUGGUCAGAGCAGUCUAGUAGCCUGACGGUCAUGGAAAAACAGGUUUCAUAACCAGACUGCCCACAGUUUUAAAAGUUAUCUAUUCCUUUUAUUGAGAUAUCGUUGACAUCUAACAAUGUGCAGACUGUGGCUUUGUCUUCGUGAGUCAGAAUGGCUUCUAAAGCUCCAGAUAUUACCUCUGCAUAAAGUGGUCAAAUGUAGGAAGCUUUUCCAUACUUGAGAACAGGUCAAGAAACCCAUUAUCAAUGACUCUUCUGUCUGAGGUGCCGAACAACUACAAAACCUCGAUGCCCUUUCUUCAGGGACUUUUAAAAGUAACAUUUAAUAAAUACUUUAAAAUGCC